CCCUUUAGGAGAGCUUACUUUGCGGUUUGCAGCGCUCUCGUGCAGGUUACACUUCAUUACCUGAAAAUGCUGCUGUCCUAGGGUGUCAGUAAUUGUAAAAGGAAAUAUCCUGGUCAGACACCACUACCACUCAUUUUCUCUGGUCUCGUUGUUGCCCUGUAUCAGAAAAACCUGCCACUGAAUGUGCCUACAGGAAAAUGCAUAAGUAUUCAAGAAAAUUAUAUAAGUUGA
rnacentral:lncRNA from 1 species